UUUUAAAUUUAAUUAUUUUUAGUUAUUUAAUUGAAAGAUAUUGAUUCUUCGUGUGUUUGUAGUGUGAAUAAUAUUCUGCAGUAAGAUAUCCUCCGAUUGGCAAAAAUUGGACAAGCAAUUUUUUUUUUUGUCUCUGCAAGUAAAAUACGUUAUCUUUUUUAACUAAAAAAUAGGUCUGUCAAUAACUAUUUUAAUAGUUAUUUAAAAUCAAAACAAAUUUCUGCAUCUUAUAUAUUAAAAAUAUAUAAUAAAAUUUAAUUUCUUAAAAAAUAAAUUCAUCUAUUAUAUUUUAUUAGAACAGUCGUAUCCUAAUUCAAAAUCAAAUUGUUUCCAACAACAAAAAUAAUAUAGUUCUAUUUGUAAUAUAUCAAAUCUCCAAC
rnacentral:lncRNA from 1 species